rnacentral:rRNA from 1 species
UACGGAGGGUGCAAGCGUUAUCCGGAUUUACUGGGUUUAAAGGGUGUGUAGGCGGACUUUUAAGUCAGGGGUGAAAUCCCGAGGCUCAACCCCGGAACUGCCUCCGAUACUGGACGUCUGGAGGACGGGAGAGGCGAGUGGAAUGCCGAGUGUAGAGGUGAAAUUCGUAGAUAUUCGGCGGAACACCCGUGGCGAAGGCGGCUCGCUGGUCCGUUUCUGACGCUGAGGCGCGAAAGCGUGGGGAGCAAACAGG